UAGGCCCCACAUAGAGGAUCUAAGAGAGGAGGUGUGAGUGUUUAAUAAGCCUCAUUUCAGACUUCCUGUUAUGUCCAUCAAACGUGUUUCCACGCCUUGCCUGAAACCUUGGACUCGUUGUCUCAGAAAUCGCCUCCGGAGGCGGAGGAGAUCCAAACCCUUCCAAACAUACCUCAUCCUAACCGCUCUCAAUCACUUUAUCUCAUUCUCAUAUCAAUUUCUCUCAAUUAUUUGCCAACUGAUCAAACCAGAGCAAAAUAAGCUUGAACCCUAAGACAUGAAACUAGAAAAUAAACGACAAUGGAUGUAUAAAUCGAACCUAAACCAUAGGGUUUGGUUUGAUUGCCUCUCUGUUACAUCGUGGCACCAAACAUCAAGCACGAGGAAGAGGAAUUCAUAGCCUACCUUCGAGGCGGAGGCUGCCCCGAUAUAUAUUAAAACUGAAGAUAAGGAAGUGAAGAAAUCCAGAACCAAAGAUUAUGUAGCCAAUGUCAAAUUUGCAGUGGUGAAACUGAGAUAUGUUGCAAAUAAAAAAGCAGGGUUGUCAAGAUGACUUAACUGAGUUGAGAGUUUUGCAAUGGAAGCAACAAAAAUUCACUAUUAGGAGCUAAAUUUGUAACUGGUUAUUUAUGCUUAGUUUCAAUUGUUAUAAAUGAAUUUCGAUACAAUUGUUAUGGGAAUGCUACUGAAUUUAGUCAGUGUAUGUGAUAGUUAGUAACUUUGUAACUAUUAGUGUGCUAAUUGUAAUUGUUAGUGCUAAUUUUGUAACUGUUAGAUUUUUACUGAACCAGACUUGAAAUUAAAUACUUGUUUGACUAGUUUGGGAA